AAUUCCUGUAAGGUGGCCUAAUGGUGCUGCUACAGAAAUUCUCUUUUGAGGUGUUUGUGAAUCCCAAGGCCUCCCACCACUGAAAGUCAAGUCUGGAACUCUGAAAAGAAAGCAUAGGGAGGGAGGCCACAUGGAAGAGACGAGAGGAUUCUAUAGAGGUUGCUAUAUGUCCAUGGAGCCCAUCCUUCCUCUGCCUCCCUGUCCCUCCCUUCUUCUUCUCUCACCCACUCCCCUUUCUCUGUUAUAGCCGAAAUUGGUCAUAGCCCCGUGGGAGAAGAAAGAUGCCUGAUGUGUCAGUAGGGAGGCGAGGGAUCCUUUUGAGGCAUGCCCAGUGGGAGGACUUUCUUUUUCUUCCGCUUGGGUCUAGUUUCUCUUCACUCUUUGAACACUUGGAGACAUGAAUUAAUUCCCCUGGUCAUUGUGUCACUCAUUUGUCAGCUCACUCGGCUGCUCACCACAUCCAUGUCUUCCCAUCUUGAUUUAGCUCAGCCUUUUUUUUUUUUUUCAAGCAAGAAGGGAGAUUUCUUAGGAGAACAUAGAGAGCCCAUGGACAAGUAGAGAAUAGAGUAGCUGGUCCUCCCCAAAGAUGGGAGCCAGCAACUGUUUAAGACAUGAGAAGCCAAGCCUGCUGUACCUUUUUGCCAUUCUGGGGUCACACAUUCACUCACCUCUGCUCUUCUUUGUACAUCACUAGACCCUUCCAUCUUUUAAAUCUCUUGGCUUCUCUCCAUUUCCACUGCCAUGACCCUAGUGUAAAGGACUUUUCUUUUUUUUUUAUUGCCUGGGGAAACUGAGGCAGCCUCCUGAAUUUUCUCCCGAAUCCCACCCUUGCCCAUUUCCAGUCUGUGUCUCUCACUACAGCCAGAGGGAUUUUUAGAAAUGAACAGUUUAUUCAACAGAUUUCACUGAUCCUAGGAAAGACGUCAAAAUCAUAAGCACGGUGUGGAACUGGAUUACCACUCCCCCAUAUUCGGUGCCCUGUAUCGAAGUGCCCUGCUCGGUUGGAGGAUUAUACAGCACGGCCCAUGUUAUCCUCAGGCAUGGCAGAGGGGCUGCUGAACAGUGAAAACAGAUGUGAGCACACGCGUUAAGAACCAGGCUGAGGACCGGUGCUGGGUCUGAUGGGCUACUACGAGACAGGAAGACCAGCAACCCCCUGUCUUGGUCCUUCCAGGAGAAGCCUGUGUGGUCACUGACCUCUGUCGCCCUCCCCUCCCUGACAGGGUCCCACUGGAGCAGCCUCGAAGCUUAGCGGGCAGCCCAUCUGAGUGUGGCUAAUUGCAAGAUGUUUUGUUGGCUUCGGCGGUUCCAUUCCUCGUCAAGACGGUCCCGGCAUCUGUUUGGAAUGCUUAAUAAGGGAAGUGAUGCAUUUUUAAUCACCACAGCCCUCACUGAAAAUCACAGCCUGUGUCUCGCCACGCUUGCUGGGCCCUGCGAUAACACAGAGAGCCUUCCUCACAUUUGCUCUCAUUAUCGAACAAGAGAGAAACGCCCGGCUUCACUCCGUUGUCACCCAGAUGGCUGCAGGCACCUUCCAAGUCCCUCGAUCCCCCAUCCUGGGUCGGCUUCAGUCCCCGACAAUCUCCAGGGCUGCUGGGUGAUCAGGCUGCCUCAGAGGAGCUCCCUGAGACUGGGGCGGGGGGUGGGGGGACAGCGGAGCUGGGAGGGGGCACCGUGUUGGCAUUCUCGAGGGCUUUUCCAAUAUCACCCCCUGCCACAGGGCCCAGCCACCCUCCAAGAAGUUGCUCAGAUGGAGCCCCGUAUCUGCCACCCGGUGGCAGUGGGGCUUGGGACAGAUGGCUUAACCUCUCUGAAGCUCAGUUUCCUUUUCUGUCAAGUGGGGCCAAUAAUUCCAGCUUUGCAGGGUAGCCAUCGGGAUUCCGUGAGGUAAUAAAGCACAUGGUGGAUCUGUGACCCAAAAUACUGUUCUCGUCCCCUGCCUUCCCUGGAUUCUCACCACGCAGAGAGAAGCUUUGGGACACACUGGGGCUUAAGGAACAUGGACAUCUGGGAAGGGAAGGAAGCCAGGCCGGGGCUGGGGAGCGGACUUAACCCAGGAGCCCUUGGGUGGCAAAGGACAGAAACUCGAGUCAGAAGAGAUUUGAAUGGUUACUAUCCGGGCACAGCCCAGGGGUCUGCUUCAGUGUGGCUGGUUCCAGGGGCUCUAAUACUCUGCUCCCCUGUUUGUCUGCCCCUGGGGUCAUGUUCUCCUGUGGGAGCUCUGGCCUCCCAUCUCACUGGUCAGCCCUGGGGCUCAUGGCCACUCCCGAAACCACCUCCAUGGCCCAGGGAAGGCUGUAUGCCAGUCAGCUUGCUUCUGUCACUUGGCUGCCUCUGGAUCUGGGCGGGUGGGGUCAGCCCCACCUGACCAUGUAGGGGGAGGAUUCACUUGUGUGUGUGUUUGUGGGGGCGGGGCAGUAAACCGAGGCUACAGACAGCCCACUGAGUAUAUUUGGAAGCAGAGGGCAACAUAGGCCAAGCUGGCCGCCUCAGCUGGGGCAUAUGCACACAGCUACCAAAGCCACAGGUAGGCACAGGGAUGCCCCCCUUCACCCAGGCGGCCGGCCUCUGGCCCCAGCACAGAGCCUGGACUCACUGACCCUGAGUGCCAGGGGCUCUACGGAUGGGAGGACAGGGUUUACCCCUGGGUGUAUCUACAUAAAUCCUCAGGACC